ACCUGAUUAUGUUAGGCAGUCAUUUUAGUAAAGCAGUGAUUAGCAUAAGCGUUAUCCUCGGAUAAUUCUUAUCAAAUAAUUCUCCUUCUUUAGUGCUCCCCAUACGUAUUGCUGACGAAAAAUCAAAAAAUUGCCAUUUAGGUGGCAUUCAACACUAUUUAAGGAAAUUAUUAUGUCUAACAAAAUGACUGGUACCGUUAAGUUCUUCAACGCUGAGAAAGGUUUUGGUUUCAUCUCCCCGGCUGACGGCAGCAAAGACGUGUUCGUACACUUCUCCGCUAUCCAGUCCACCAGCUUCAAAACCCUGGACGAAGGUCAGCGCGUUGAGUUCACCAUCGAGCAAGGCCAGAAAGGCCCGGCUGCUGCCAACGUAGUUGGUCUGUAAUUCAAGCCGGAGCAUACUGCUGAUGGCUCAUGCCAACCGCUGACAGCUCUGCAAGAAUUUAAAAAAACCCGCUUCGGCGGGUUUUUUGUU
rnacentral:sRNA from 2 species